rnacentral:rRNA from 1 species
CCUACGGGAGGCAGCAGUGAGGAAUAUUGGUCAAUGGACGAGAGUCUGAACCAGCCAAGUAGCGUGAAGGAUGACUGCCCUAUGGGUUGUAAACUUCUUUUAUAAAGGAAUAAAAUGUGCCACGUGUGGCUUUUUGUAUGUACUUUAUGAAUAAGGAUCGGCUAACUCCGUGCCAGCAGCCGCGGUAAUACGGAGGAUCCGAUCGUUAUCCGGAUUUAUUGGGUUUACAGGGAGCGUAGGUGGGUUGUUAAGUCAGUUGUGAAAGUUUGGGGCUCAACCGUAAAAUUGCAGUUGAUACUGGCAGUCGUGAGUACAGUAGAGGUAGGCGGAAUUCGUGGUGUAGCGGUGAAAUGCUUAGAUAUCACGAAGAACUCCGAUUGCGAAGGCAGCUCACUGGACUGCAACUGACACUGAUGCUCGAAAGUGUGGGUAUCAAACAGGAUUAGAUACCCGAGUAGUC